GCCGAUGUGGUGAAAUUGGUAGACACGCUGUCUUGAGGGGGCAGUGGCGAGAGCCGUGCCGGUUCGAGUCCGGCCAUCGGCACCA
rnacentral:tRNA from 1 species